CCUACGGGUGGCUGCAGUGAGGAAUAUUGGUCAAUGGGCGGAAGCCUGAACCAGCCAAGUAGCGUGCGGGAUGAAGGCCCUACGGGUCGUAAACCGCUUUUGCACGGGGAUAACACCCUCCACUUGUGGAGGUCUGCAGGUACCGUGCGAAUAAGGGCCGGCUAAUUCCGUGCCAGCAGCCGCGGUAAUACGGAAGGCCCGAGCGUUAUCCGGAUUCAUUGGGCUUAAGGGGAGCGUAGGCGGGCGUUCAAGUCAGCUGUAAAAUCGCGCGGCUCAACCGCGCCCCGCAGUUGAAACUGGACGCCUUGAGUUCACAACAGGCAGGCGGAAUUCCGAGUGUAGCGGUGAAAUGCGUAGAUAUUAGGAGGAACACCAGUGGCGAAGGCGGCCUGCUGGGCUUUUACUGACGCUGAGGCUCGAAAGUGUGGGGAGCAAACAGGAUUAGAUACCCGAGUAGUC
rnacentral:rRNA from 1 species